rnacentral:lncRNA from 1 species
AAACACUUAAAAACAGCAAGGAACAACAUUAGAAGUAAUGGGUGAUAAACUCCUACAAAUUUUAUGCAAAACAACUUGGUUACCCCCUACACUUAAAUCAAACAUUGUCCUCAAUGUUUCAAGCAUAAACUCACACAAAAACAAGCAAACAAACAAACAACGAAUAAACAUGACAAGUAUAGCAAAGUAAAAACCAGACAGAGUAGAGUUUAAGAAUGCAAAUCUGGUUUUGGAGAUAGAUAAUCUUGUUGACUUUCCACAGCUUUGAUCUCGAACUGGUUUGGAAUUCUGAGCAAGGAAUAUCAGAGUUCCUUGGUUUCAAAUCAGACUCCUUCUGCUGGGUUGAUUUGAUUGUGCAGUCUGCAUUCUUCUCUGCUUGUUUCUUCUGCAUGGCAGGUAGGCACGAGGUAGAGGUGAUGGUCUGUUUCUUUCUUCAAUCUUUCCAAGUGCCCACCAUUUGCUUUAUUUCUCCUUGUCCCUAGCUAAGGACGAAUUAGCACAUUGUCUCCACAUGCUUCGAGGUAUCAUUUUCACUUCCCUUAUCUGUUCCCCAGGCAGAUGUGGUAGACGAAGAGGAAACAUAAGAUGUUGAAGAUGAGUACUCGAGAGCAAGGCU